GAUGAAGAACGCAGUGAAAUGCGAUAAGUAAUGUGAAUUGCAGAAUUCAGUGAAUCAUCGAAUCUUUGAACGCACAUUGCGCCCGCCAGUAUUCUGGCGGGCAUGCCUGUUCGAGCGUCAUUACAACCCUCAGGCCCCCGGGCCUGGCGUUGGGGAUCGGCGGAAGCCCCCUGCGGGCACAACGCCGUCCCCCAAAUACAGUGGCGGUCCCGCCGCAGCUUCCAUUGCGUAGCAGCUAACACCUCGCAACUGGAGAGCGGCGCGGCCACGCCGUAAAACACCCAACUUCUGAAUGUUGACCUCGAAUCAGGUAGGAAUACCCGCUGAACUUAAGCAUAUCAAUAAGCGGAGGA
rnacentral:misc_RNA from 1 species